AGUGAACGCUGGCGGUAGACCUAACACAUGCAAGUCGAACGGCAGCACAGUAAGAGCUUGCUCUUACGGGUGGCGAGUGGCGGACGGGUGAGGAAUACAUCGGCAUCUACUUUUUCGUGGGGGAUAACGUAGGGAAACUUAUGCUAAUACCGCAUACGACCUACGGGUGAAAGCAGAGGUUCUUCGGACCUUGCGCGAUUGAAUGAGCCGAUGUCGGAUUAGCUAGUUGGCGGGGUAAAGGCCCACCAAGGCGACGAUCCGUAGCUGGUCUGAGAGGAUGAUCAGCCACACUGGAACUGAGACACGGUCCAGACUCCUACGGGAGGCAGCAGUGGGGAAUAUUGGACAAUGGGCGCAAGCCUGAUCCAGCCAUGCCGCGUGGGUGAAGAAGGCCUUCGGGUUGUAAAGCCCUUUUGUUGGGAAAGAAAAGCAGCAGGUUAAUACCCCGCUGUUCUGACGGUACCCAAAGAAUAAGCACCGGCUAACUUCGUG
rnacentral:rRNA from 1 species